AAUGAACGCUGGCGGCGUGCCUAACACAUGCAAGUCGCACGAGAAAGUCCCAGCUUGCUGGGGCUAGUAAAGUGGCGCACGGGUGAGUAACGCGUGGGUAAUCUACCUCCGAAUUGGGGAUAACAUUGCGAAAGCGGUGCUAAUACCGAAUGACAUCACCGAGGCUAAGGCCUUGGUGAUCAAAGGUGGCCUCUACAUGUAAGCUAUUGUUUGGAGAUGAGCCCGCGUACCAUUAGCUAGUUGGUAGGGUAAUGGCCUACCAAGGCUACGAUGGUUAGCUGGUCUGAGAGGAUGAUCAGCCACACUGGAACUGACACACGGUCCAGACUCCUACGGGAGGCAG
rnacentral:rRNA from 1 species